AUUCAGCUGACGAGUCUCAAACAGAAUGGAACGCGCAUCCUGGAU
rnacentral:hammerhead_ribozyme from 1 species